rnacentral:rRNA from 1 species
GACGGAAGGUGCGGGCGUUAUUCGUUUUGAUUGGGUGUAAAGGGUACGUAGGUGGCCGAGGAGAGUCCUGAUCAAAAGAGCAGAGUGUUCCUGUGCGUAGAUCAUUUCUGGAAUCGGCUAGAGUUGAGGAUGGGUUGGGUUAAUUUCCUGUGAAGGAGUAGAAUCCGAAGAACUAGGAAGGAAGGAUAACUGGCGAAGGCACCUUUCCAGCUUCAAUCGACGCUCAGGUACGAAAGCGCAGGUAGCAAACAGG